rnacentral:tRNA from 1 species
UAGCUCAGUGGUUUGAGCGCGGUGCUGACAACAAUGACAUCACCGAGGUCGCGGGUUCGAUUCCCGC